rnacentral:rRNA from 1 species
UACGGGGGGGGCAAGCGUUGUUCGGAAUUACUGGGCGUAAAGGGCGCGUAGGCGGCCUUCUAAGUCGAACGUGAAAUCCCCGGGCUCAACCCGGGAACUGCGUCCGAUACUGGAAGGCUUGAAUCCGGGAGAGGGAUGUGGAAUUCCAGGUGUAGCGGUGAAAUGCGUAGAUAUCUGGAGGAACACCGGUGGCGAAGGCGACAUCCUGGACCGGUAUUGACGCUGAGGCGCGAAAGCCAGGGGAGCAAACGAG